GACGAACGCUGGCGGCGUGCUUAACACAUGCAAGUCGAACGAUGAAGCCUUCGGGUGGAUUAGUGGAGAACGGGUGAGUAACACGUGGGUGAUCUGCCCUGCAACUUGGGAUAAGCCUGGGAAACUGGGUCUAAUACCGAAUAUGAACAUGAUCUUCUUGGGGUGUGGUGGAAAGCUUUUGCGGUGUGGGAUGGGCCCGCGGCUUAUCAGCUUGUUGGUGGGGUAAUGGCCUACCAAGGCGAGGACGGAUAGCCGGCCGGAGAGGGUGACCGGCCACACGGGGGAUUAGAUACGACCCAGGCUCCUGCGGGGGGCAGGAGCGGGGUAUGUUGCAGAGGGGGCGGGAGGCUAAUGCAGCGACGCCGCGUGAGGGAGGACGGCCUUCGGGUUGUAAACCUCUGUCAGCCGGGACGAAGCGCAAGUGACGGUACCUGCAGAAGAAGGACCGGCCAACUACGUGCCAGCCGCCGCAGUAA
rnacentral:rRNA from 1 species